rnacentral:lncRNA from 1 species
AUGCAGGGGCUCAGAAAGUCACCCUCUCCGGGUGAGCGGUCUGGAGCCGAGAAGUCACCCUCCCCGGGCGAGCGGUCCGGGGUCAAGAAGUCACCCUCCCCGGGCCAGCGGUCCAGAGUCAUGGAUUCACCCUCCCCGGGCCGGCGGUCCGGACUCAAGAAGUCCCCCUCCCUGGGCCUGCGGUCCGGGGUCAAAAAGUCACCCUCCCUGGGCGAGCGGUCCAGAGUCAUGGAGUCACCCCCCCCGGCCAGCAUUCCGGAGUCAAGAAGUCACCCUCCCCGGGCCAGCAGUCCGGGGUCAAGAAGUCACCCUCUCCGGGCGAACGGUCCAGAGUCAUGGAGUCACCCUCCCCAGGCCAGCGGUCUGUGGUCCAGAAGUCACCCUCCCCGGGCCAGCAUUCCGGACUCAAGAAGUCACCCUCCCCAGGCGAGCGAUGAGGGGUCAAGAAGUCACCGUCCCCGGGCGAGUGGUCCGGGGUCAAGAAGUCACCCUCCCCAGACGAGUGGUCCGGGGUCAGGACCUGACCUUCUCAAAGGGGCUCAACUGGCUCAGGUGAAGGAGGUUCAGCAGGUGCAGCAGCCAGUCUGCCCGCUCUCUGGCCAGAGGAGCUCAGAGGACUCACCUGAGAGAGUCCUCAGGGUCGUGUACCCGGCACCGGAGGAGUCGUGGAUCGAGCCCCAGACCUCGCCCCAGAUCCCUCACCCCUGCCGGGCCUCAUUCCUCGUCCCCAACGGCCGCGGAGCCCGGGGGCCUCUCGGCUCGGCGGAGCGCUCGGGGCAGACCACCGCCACCCGCCCAGAUUGCCGGCAGAGAGGGGGCAAGGUGGACCCGGCGCCAUCUUCCCGGAGGGGAAUCACCCCGAAGGCCGCAACCCGGACACCCGCAAGAGCUCCGGGCCCAAGAGGGGAGAGCGGGUGGGCCCCUCGCCUGAUGCAGGGGCCGGUUCUCCCGGCCAAGAGAGCUCCAGCCUUUCCGCGGGGCCCCCGCCCGCCGGAGUAUGGGGCCACGGGGUGCGGGGCGUCACCGGCGGACCCCACGAAGGCCGCACCCCGAGCCUCCCCGACGGGAGAGAGAAGACCGCGGAGGAACGGAUGGCCCAGUGGCACCCGCCGCACGGGAAGGGGGUCGUCCCGUCCCUGGUGA